AUUGCUCCUUGUUAACCUCGUACCAAAUACUCCCUUAUUUGCAUCAAUCUCCAAGUGCAAGGUUAUUGUUAGUGAACUUGUCUUUACAUCGUUAAUUGAGAGGUUCAAAGUCCCUUGAUGUUUGUGACAUCAUGUUUUAUGGUGUAGUUAGAUGGUCCUAUAAAAAGGGUGUCUCAGUGCACAAAGCAUCCCACAUUUGUGGGCUAUGGGGAGAGUUGAUGUACAUAGCCUUACCAUACUUUGCAGAGGCUGUUUUUGUGGCUUGAAUCCGUGAUCUUUAGGUCACAAAUGGAAUAACUUUACUGUUACACCAAAGUAAUCCUCUUAGAUGAUCCCAUAGCUAAUAUAAAAUCAGAUGCACUUUUUUUUUCUGUUAAGUAGAAUGCAGUGGUUUAGCCAGCCCUACUCCAUCUGGCAUCUGCUACAUUUAUUUGAUUCACCAUCACUUAUGUUUUGAUAUGAUGGCCUUUGGAGCUUGUGCAUGAUGCUGUGAAAAAAAAUUUGUUUUUCAAUUGCCUGAAAUUUAAACAUGAAAAAAAGAGAGCUCACAGUUGAGACAACUUAUAUAGGAAGUUGGUAAAUCUGAUGCUGUAUUGAAAUUUAAAGUCCCCUAAAUGAUGCUUGUGCCAUUAACAUUCUAAUAUUUAUAUGUAUGAUUGAAUUCCCACAUGCAUUCCUUAGCUAGUGCCAGAUACCAGAGAACGCAGAAAAGUUCAGCUUGUGGAACAGCCAGGCCAGAAAACAGCUGGCAGAAGCCCCCAGGCCACAAAAGCAGUUUCUGUCAGUCAAAGUCGCCCAAUG
rnacentral:misc_RNA from 1 species